rfam:Omnitrophica WOR_2 bacterium RIFOXYA2_FTLL_38_17 rifoxya2_full_scaffold_727, whole genome shotgun sequence.
UCCGGUAAUUUUACUGUAAGGACAACACCCGUUCCCAUUCCGAAUACGGCAGUUAAUCCUUAUAAGGUCGAUGGUACUUGUCUCGCAAGGGGCCGGGAGAGUAGAACAUUACCGGAU